rnacentral:rRNA from 1 species
CACGGGGGUUGGAGGGCAAGUCUGGUGCCAGCAGCCGCGGUAAUUCCAGCUCCAAUAGCGUAUAUUAAAGUUGUUGCAGUUAAAAAGCUCGUAGUUGAAUUUCGGGGUUAGUAGGUUGGUCAUGCCUCUGGUAUGUACUGGUCUCACUGAUUCCUCCUUCCUUAUGAACCGUAAUGCCAUUAAUUUGGUGUUGCGGGGAAUUUGGACUGUUACUUUGAAAAAAUUAGAGUGUUUAAAGCAAGCUAACGCUUGAAUACAUUAGCAUGGAAUAAUGAAAUAGGACGUUCGAUCUUAUUUUGUUGGUUUCUAGGAUUGACGUAAUGAUUAAUAGGGAUAGUUGGGGGCAUUAGUAUUCAAUUGUCAGAGGUGAAAUUCUUGGAUUUAUUGAAGACUAACUACUGCGAAAGCAUUUGCCAAGGAUGUUUUCAUUAAUCAAGAACGAAAGUUAGGGGAUCGAAGACGAUCAGAUACCGUCGUAG